GAUGAAGAACGUAGCGAAAUGCGAUAAGUAAUGUGAAUUGCAGAAUUCAGUGAAUCAUCGAAUCUUUGAACGCUCAUUGCGCCCGCCAGUAUUCUGGCGGGCAUGCCUGUUCGAGCGUCAUUUCAACCAUCAAGCCCCAGGCUUGGGUUGGGGACCUGCGGCUGCCGCAGGCCCUGAAAACCAGUGGCGGGCUCGCUGUCACACCGGGCGUAGUAGAUUUUAUCUCGCUCAGGGCGUGCUGCGGGUUCCGGCCGUUAAAAAGCCUUUUUUACCCAAGGUUGACCUCGGAUCAGGUAGGAAGACCCGCUGAACUUAAGCAUAUCAAUAAGCGGAGGA
rnacentral:misc_RNA from 1 species